rnacentral:rRNA from 1 species
UGUUCGGAAUUACUGGGCGUAAAGGGCUCGUAGGCGGCCAACUAAGUCAGACGUGAAAUCCCUCAGCUUAACUGGGGAACUGCGUCUGAUACUGGAUGGCUUGGAUUCGGGAGAGGAAUGCGGAAUUCCAGGUGUAGCGGUGAAAUGCGUAGAUAUCUGGAGGAACACCGGUGGCGAAGGCGGCAUUCUGGACCGAUAUUGACGCUGAGGAGCGAAAGCCAGGGGAGCAAACGGG